GGAAGCGUGGCAGAGCGGUUGAAUGCACCGGUCUUGAAAACCGGCAAAGGGGCAACUCUUUCCAGGGUUCGAAUCCCUGCUCCUCCGCCA
rnacentral:tRNA from 1 species